rnacentral:snRNA from 1 species
CCCUUUGUGCAGUGGCAGUAUCGUAGCCAAUGAGGUUUAUCCGGGGCGUGAUUAUUGCUAAUUGAAAAAGUAAAUAAAAGAGGGAUCCGUUCAUGUCCAAGAUAUAGUAACAGAGACUAAAUUUACAUUCCCACCUAAAAUAAAUAAAAAAUGGAUAAAACUAUAUAAAACAACAAUUUGU